GGAAACUUGGGUGGUUGAGUCUCAGGUCAGGUUAUCUGCUUACCUUCCUUUGCAGUGGGAGAUUGUUUUUGUGGACAGCAGAACAAUUUUGGUCUCAGAAUGUAGCUCAUGUAUUCUCCCUUAGGAUGUAUUCAUAUAAACGUCUACAGGCAAUGAGUUGACUGAUUUUGAAACACCAUCAUGGCAUUUUUAACUUGGCUUCAAUCGUAAUGUGGCAUUAUUUAUACUUUAUGUGAGCAUUA
rnacentral:misc_RNA from 1 species